rnacentral:rRNA from 1 species
CCUACGGGUCGCAGCAGUGGGGAAUAUUGGACAAUGGGCGAAAGCCUGAUCCAGCCAUGCCGCGUGUGUGAAGAAGGCCUUCGGGUUGUAAAGCACUUUCAGUGGGGAAGAAAGCCUUGGGGCUAAUACCCUCGAGGAAGGACAUCACCCACAGAAGAAGCACCGGCUAACUCCGUGCCAACAGCCGCGGUAAUACGGAGGGUGCGAGCGUUAAUCGGAAUUACUGGGCGUAAAGCGCGCGUAGGCGGUCUGAUAAGCCGGUUGUGAAAGCCCCGGGCUCAACCUGGGAACGGCAUCCGGAACUGUCAGGCUAGAGUGCAGGAGAGGAAGGUAGAAUUCCCGGUGUAGCGGUGAAAUGCGUAGAGAUCGGGAGGAAUACCAGUGGCGAAGGCGGCCUUCUGGACUGACACUGACGCUGAGGUGCGAAAGCGUGGGUAGCAAACAGGAUUAGAUACCCUAGUAGUC